rnacentral:lncRNA from 1 species
AAUAUAGAGAAAAUGUCAAAACUGACAUUAUGUCUAUAAAAAAGAGAUCACGACAAAACCGGUGAUAAUAGGUCAUAAGCUAAAUGAAAUAAAAGAUAAUUAGGGGAAAAGCAAUGGAUCUCUCUCUUUCUUCCCUCUAUUAUUUUUCAGAGAGAGAGAAUUGCGUUAUUUCCCAUGCUUGAUCAAUCUGGUGAGGUUUUCAUCCAGUAUAUCAGGUUUGUCUUCGGCAAUGUCUUGUCUGGUUUUGUUUUUUUUUUUGUUUUUAGUUUCUCUGAAUCAACUUCGCUUCUCUUUUAGAAAUGUUUCAAUCGGAUCAAAAUCUUAGAUCGAUUUGUUUCAUCCUGCCCUCUCUGUUAGGGUUCAAUCAUCUUCAAGCUUUUGAUUUGCAUGCAAGGAUUUGAGACUUUCGUUUGCUUUUAUUUAUUUGAUUCGAUUGGUUCUGGGUUUGAUGUUCUGAAGCGUUGUUUUUGAUUUCGUCUGUGCUGAAUCAAGCUAUUGUCAAAGCCAGACUCUCUCUGUCGCGUUUUCCUAUCUCCGGUAUGUUUUCGGUGGAAUACCGAUUAGACCGUCCGGGAACGGCUAACUUUUGGGUAAAUCAAGCAAAUUUAGCAAAACGUUAGUGUGUUGUUUUCCCUGAUGUGGGGUUUAGGUUAGCAAACAAAAAUCUAAGGUAACCAGCUAUAAAAAGUAAUAAACGCUAAAAAUAUUGUUAAAUAGAUAUUCUAGAAUUUUUAGCAUGUAUAUCGGAAGAUUAUUGCAUAUGCUAAAAAAGUUAUUGACAAACUAAAAGAAACUUUGCACUGUGAAUUAGCCCAAAAUCAUAUAAGAAGUAGCAAAUUAGGCAAAUACCUAUGACACAAAAGUUGUGGGGAUCCAACAUAGAGAAAAUGUUAAAACUGACCUUAUGUCUAUAAAAACGAGAUCACGACAAAACCGGUGAUAAUAGGUCAUAAGCUAAAUGAAAUAAAAGGUAAUUAGGGGGAAAACAAUGAAUCUAUCUCUCUUUCUUCCCUCUAUUAUUUCUCAGAGAGAGGGAAUUGCGUUAUUUCUCAUGCUUGAUCAAUCUGGUGAGGUUUUCACCCAGUAUAUCAGGUUUAUCUUCGGCAAUGUCUUGUCUGGUUUUGUUUUUUUUUUGUUUUUUGUUUUUUUUUUAGUUUCUCUGAAUCAACCUCGCUUCUCUUUUAGAAAGGUUUCAAUCGGAGCAAAAUCUUAGAUCGAUUUGUUUCAUCAUGCCCUCUUUGUUAGGGUUCAAUCAUCUUCAAGCUUUUGAUUUGCAUGCAAGGAUUUGAGACUUUCGUUUGCUUUUAUUUGUUUGAUUCGAUUGGUUCUGGGUUUGAUGUUUUGAAGCGUUAUUUUUGAUUUCGUCUGUGCUGAAUCAAGCUAUUGUCGAAGCCAGAUUCUCUCUGUCGCAUUUUCUUGUCUCCGGUAUGUUUUCGGUGGAAUACCGAUUAGACCGGCCGGCAACGGCUUACCUUUGGGUAAACCAAGCAAAUUUAGCAAAAAGUUAGCGUGUUGUUUUCCCUGAUGUGGGGUUUAGGUUAGCGGGUUUAGGUUAGCAAACAAAAAUUUAAGGUAACCAGCUUUAAAAAGUAAUAAACGCUAAAAAGAUUGUUAAAUAGAUAUUCUAGAAUUUUUGGCAUGUAUAUCGGAAUAUUAUUGCAUAUGCUAAAAAAGUUAUUGACAAACUAAAAGAAACUUUGCACUGGUCCUGUGUUAAAAUAUUAAAUAAGUUAGCAAAUAUUGAUGUCGAAGAUUUGUUAGAUAUGUUAGCGCGUUAAAUAAAGUAUUGUAAGCUAUAUAGUUUAGUGACCAUGUAACACUUUUUUAUGCAGGUUUAGCGUCAACUCUCAACUGCUAACGGGGUUUGUCUAUAAAAGGAAGCCAACAAGCAAACUCUCACCAUAAAAAGUUGUCUAGUUAACAAAACCAAUACCACUCCUCCGUUUCUAUGUAUUGAUUGUAGACUUUGUAGUUACAGAAUCUUGUUUCGUAAUAUUUUAUUAAUACAAGUCAGUAACUAAAAUAUUAGUUUGCUCCAUUGUCAUUGUGGCCAAUUAUUUAAGUUAACGUCUUUGAAUUGUUUGUAGCCGGCUAAGAAUAAUACUGGAUGAGUAUAUUUAAAGUUGGCUA